rnacentral:rRNA from 1 species
AUAAUGGGUCAGCGACUUAUAUUCUGUAGCAAGGUUAACCGUAUAGGGGAGCCGCAGGGAAACCGAGUCUUAACUGGGCGUUAAGUUGCAGGGUAUAGACCCGAAACCCGGUGAUCUAGCCAUGGGCAGGUUGAAGGUUGGGUAACACUAACUGGAGGACCGAACCGACUAAUGUUGAAAAAUUAGCGGAUGACUUGUGGCUGGGGGUGAAAGGCCAAUCAAACCGGGAGAUAGCUGGUUCUCCCCGAAAGCUAUUUAGGUAGCGCCUCGUGAAUUCAUCUUCGGGGGUAGAGCACUGUUUCGGCUAGGGGGUCAUCCCGACUUACCAACCCGAUGCAAACUACGAAUACCGAAGAAUGUUAUCACGGGAGACACACGGCGGGUGCUAACGUCCGUCGUGAAGAGGGAAACAACCCAGACCGCCAGCUAAGGUCCCAAAGUCAUGGUUAAGUGGGAAACGAUGUGGGAAGGCCCAGACAGCCAGGAUGUUGGCUUAGAAGCAGCCAUCAUUUAAAGAAAGCGUAAUAGCUCACUGGUCGAGUCGGCCUGCGCGGAAGAUGUAACGGGGCUAAACCAUGCACCGAAGCUGCGGCAGCGACACUAUGUGUUGUUGGGUAGGGGAGCGUUCUGUAAGCCGUUGAAGGUGGCCUGUGAGGGUUGCUGGAGGUAUCAGAAGUGCGAAUGCUGACAUAAGUAACGAUAAUGCGGGUGAAAAACCCGCACGCCGGAAGACCAAGGGUUCCUGUCCAACGUUAAUCGGGGCAGGGUGAGUCGACCCCUAAGGCGAGGCCGAAAGGCGUAGUCGAUGGGAAACAGGUUAAUAUUCCUGUACUCGGUGUUACUGCGAAGGGGGGACGGAGAAGGCUAUGUUGGCCGGGCGACGGUUGUCCCGGUUUAAGCAUGUAGGCGGAUG